GGCAAGCGGAUCUCUUAAAGCUGUUCUCAGUUCGGACUGCAGUCUGCAACUCGGCUGCACGAAGCUGGAAUCGCUAGUAAUCGCGGAUCAGCACGCCGCGGUGAAUACGUUCCCGGGCCUUGUACACACCGCCCGUCACACCAUGGAAGUCUGCAAUGCCCGAAGCCGGUGGCCUAACCACUUAUGUGGAAGGAGCCGUCUAAGGCAGGGCAGAUGAUUGGGGUGAAGUCGUAACAAGGUAAC
rnacentral:rRNA from 1 species